rnacentral:rRNA from 1 species
AUUGAACGCUAGCGGGAUGCCUUACACAUGCAAGUCGAACGGCAGCAUAAGAGAGCUUGCUUUCUCGAGCGAGUGGCGAACGGGUGAGUAACGCGUGAGGAACCUGCCUCAAAGAGGGGGACAACAGUUGGAAACGACUGCUAAUACCGCAUAAUGUCAUUUAAGGGCAUCCUUGGAUGACCAAAGCUUAAUGUGCUGAAAGAUGGUCUCGCGUCUGAUUAGCUGGUUGGUGAGGUAACGGCUCACCAAGGCGACGAUCAGUAGCCGGUCUGAGAGGAUGAACGGCCACAUUGGGACUGAGAUACGGCCCAG